AUUUAUAUAGUUUAAAAAAAACACUACAUUUUCAUUGUAAAAUUAGAUAAUUUUCUUAUAAAUA
rnacentral:tRNA from 1 species